UAAGACAGGGGGUGCAAGCGUUGCUCGGAAUCACUGGGCGUAAAGCGCGCGUAGGCGGUCUCGUAAGUCGGGUGUGAAAGCCCUCAGCCUAACUGAGGAACUGCGCCCGAUACUGCGAGGCUAGAGGAUGGGAGGGGAGAGUGGAAUUCCUGGUGGAGCGGUGAAAUGCGUAGAUAUCAGGAGGAACACCAGUGGCGAAGGCGACUCUCUGGUCCAUUCCUGACGCUGAGGUGCGAAAGCUAGGGGAGCAAACGGGAUUAGAUACCCCGGUAGUCCUAGCUGUAAACGAUGGGCACUGGGUAGAGGGACUCUUAUGGUUCUCUCUGCCGGAGCUAACGCGUUAAGUGCCCCGCCUGGGGAGUAUGCUCGCAAGGGUA
rnacentral:rRNA from 1 species